rnacentral:rRNA from 1 species
GGAUGCGAUCAUAGCAGCACUAAAGCACCGGAUCCCAUCAGAACUCCGAAGUUAAGCGUGCUUGGGCGAGAGUAGUACUAGGAUGGGUGUCUAGAGGCGGCUUUGUGGCGCGAGGAGCGCGUUCU